rnacentral:rRNA from 1 species
AUUGAACGCUGGCGGCAGGCCUAACACAUGCAAGUCGAACGGUAACAGGAAGAAGCUUGCUUCUUUGCUGACGAGUGGCGGACGGGUGAGUAAUGUCUGGGAAACUGCCUGAUGGAGGGGGAUAACUACUGGAAACGGUAGCUGAUACCGCAUAACGUCGCAAGACCAAAGAGGGGGACCUUCGGGCCUCUUGCCAUCGGAUGUGCCCAGAUGGGAUUAGCUAGUAGGUGGGGUAACGGCUCACCUAGGCGACGAUCCCUAGCUGGUCUGAGAGGAUGACCAGCCACACUGGAACUGAGACACGGUCCAGACUCCUACGGGAGGCAGCAGUGGGGAAUAUUGUACAAUGGGCGCAAGCCUGAUGCAGCCAUGCCGCGUGUAUGAAGAAGGCCUUCGGGUUGUAAAGUACUUUCAGCGGGGAGGAAGGGAGUAAAGUUAAUACCUUUACUCAUUGACGUUACCCGCAGAAGAAGCACCGGCUAACUCCGUG